rnacentral:lncRNA from 1 species
GAUCUGGAGCUGUGGUGCAUACACAGUGGCUACGAAUACAGAAGCACCUGAGACACAGUGGAUACAAGACAGCACCUGAGGGACAGCAAGAGAAGAAAAACACCCUGGCUUCUCCCUUUCUCCCACUGUCCAGUCCUCAAAUUGGGCGUUUGAAUGGCUACACCUACGGGGAAGCUGGAUAUGCAUGUAUCCCCAAGGGCAGCCAGGGACUUUGAAAGAGCCCAGUGGAACCUACACCUAAGUGGAAAUGGAAUUCUUUCCUUUUAUUAAAACCUUCAGUAAAUCGUAAAAGUUGUGAUGCCAAGUGUCUUAGUCUGCACAAGCUGCUAUAACCAAAUAUCAUAGUCUGGGUGGCUUAAAGCCAAAUUUAUUUC